AUUGAUGAAAGAUAAGCGGCGGACGGGUGAGUAACGCGUGGGUAACCUGCCCUAUACACAUGGAUAACAUACUGAAAAGUUUACUAAUACAUGAUAAUAUAUAUUUACGGCAUCGUAGAUAUAUCAAAGUGUUAGCGGUAUAGGAUGGACCCGCGUCUGAUUAGCUAGUUGGUGAGAUAACUGCCCACCAAGGCGACGAUCAGUAGCCGACCUGAGAGGGUGAUCGGCCACAUUGGAACUGAGACACGGUCCAAACUCCUACGGGAGGCAGCAGUGGGGAAUAUUGCACAAUGGGCGCAAGCCUGAUGCAGCAACGCCGCGUGAACGAUGAAGGUCUUCGGAUCGUAAAGUUCUGUUGCAGGGGAAGAUAAUGACGGUACCCUGUGAGGAAGCCCCGGCUAACUACGUGCCAGCAGCCGCGGUAAUACGUAGGGGGCUAGCGUUAUCCGGAUUUACUGGGCGUAAAGGGUGCGUAGGUGGUCUUUCAAGUCGGUGGUUAAAGGCUACGGCUCAACCGUAGUUAGCCUCCGAAACUGGAAGACUUGAGUGCAGGAGAGGAAAGUGGAAUUCCCAGUGUAGCGGUGAAAUGCGUAGAUAUUGGGAGGAACACCAGUAGCGAAGGCGGCUUUCUGGACUGCAACUGACACUGAGGCACGAAAGCGUGGGUAGCAAACAGGAUUAGAUACCCUGGUAGUCCACGCUGUAAACGAUGAGUGCUAGGUAUCGGAAUAAUUCGGUGCCGCAGUUAACACAUUAAGCACUCCGCCUGGGGAGUACGUGCGCAAGCAUG
rnacentral:rRNA from 1 species